rnacentral:rRNA from 1 species
GCAUAUCAAUAAGCGGAGGAAAAGAAACUUAACAAGGAUUCCCCUAGUAACGGCGAGUGAACCGGGAAGAGCUCAAAUUUGAAAUCUGGCGUCCUCAGGGCGUCCGAGUUGUAAUCUAUAGAGGCGUUUUCCGUGCCGGACCGUGUCCAAGUUCCUUGGAACAGGAUAUCAAAGAGGGUGACAAUCCCGUACUUGACACGACGACCGGUGCUCUGUGAUACGUCUUCUACGAGUCGAGUUGUUUGGGAAUGCAGCUCAAAAUGGGUGGUGAGUUCCAUCUAAAGCUAAAUAUUGGCGAGAGACCGAUAGCGAACAAGUACCGUGAGGGAAAGAUGAAAAGCACUUUGGAAAGAGAGUUAAACAGUACGUGAAAUUGUUGAAAGGGAAACGAUUGAAGUCAGUCGUGACCGAGAGGCUCAGCCGGUUCUGCCGGUGUAUUCCCCUCGGUCGGGUCAACAUCAGUUUUGUCCGGUGGAUAAGGGCGGUAGGAAGGUGGCACCCUCGGGUGUGUUAUAGCCUGCCGUCGCAUACAUCGGGUGAGACUGAGGAACGCAGCUCGCCUUUAUGGCCGGGGUUCGCCCACGUCCGAGCUUAGGAUGUUGACAUAAUG